UUUCAAAGUCGAAGCGAGCCAUAGCAGAACCGUUAUCAAUAGGAUCCGGUGAUGUGCAUCUGCAUGAGUGAUGGUAUGUGCUUAUGAGUGUGAAAAAAAAAGAAAAAAAGUGGAAACUAAACAAAACAUUGCCAUUUUUUUUUGAAAAAAUGCAAAAAUAGAAAGACAGGGAACGAAAUAUUUGAAUGCAAAAAGACGUCCUUUAUUUAUGAUAAAAAAAUGCAAGUGGCACAUAGAUGGGCCCUACAAUGAGUCAUUACGCCCUGGCGGAACGUAAGACUUGGAUAUGCAUGAAUAAACAAAGAAAAUUACUCCUCCAGACAAGUGGCUUCGACAAUCUCCUCAGAAGACCAAUUGUUGAGAACUUCAC
rnacentral:lncRNA from 1 species